rnacentral:lncRNA from 1 species
CUGUAUUGUAUGAGAUUCUCUAUAAAGAUGUGUUUGUCAUGGAUGAAGAGGCAUUGAAAACUGCAGUUCAGUUGUUUCGAAGUGGUUCUAAGAAGAAUAGAAACAAUGCUGUGACUGGAAGUGAGGAUGCCCAUAUUGAUUACAAGAGUUCAACACAGGAUAGAUGCAAACUCAAGGAGAGGGGAAUCACAGAAGGGUAUGAACACUAGGAAGCAGGAUCAUAGAGACCACCUUAAGAGUGUAUCCUCACAGAAGAUAAUCUCAGAAUGAAGAGUGGGGUGCUGGCUGCAGUAUUCAGAAUAUACCAGAGGGCUAUAAUCAAGGAAUGGAAGAAUUGAAGUCUCCAGAAAAUCCAUCAAAGAUGCUCUUCCCCUAUAAAGUGCUCAAAGCUCUGGAUCCGGAAAUCUAUCGUAAUGUAGAAUUUGAUGUUUGGUUGGACAGCAGAAAAGAACUUCAAAAAUCUGAUUACAUGGAGUAUGCUGGAAGACAGUAUUAUUUAGGAGACAAAUGUCAGGUUCGCUUGGAAUCAGAUGGAAAGUAUUAUAAUGCUCAUAUUCAAGAAGUUGGAAAUGAGAACCAUUCAGUAACUGUUUUCAUUGAAGAACUGGCAGAAAAGCAUGUUGUUCCGCUGGCUAAUUUAAAAGCAGUUACCCAAGUGACACCUGUUCCUACCUGGAAUGCUAUGCCCAGUCGGAAAGGAAGAGGCUACCAGAAAAUGUCUACAGGCUAUGUCCCAGAAAUGGCUAUGCCAGAGAUGGACAUAAAGCAGCGCAAGAAGAUGUUUAAGAAAGUUCGAGGAAAAGAGGUUUAUAUGACAGUGGCUUACAACAGGGGAGAUUCCCUCCCUCCGCCCAGACUUCAACACAGCAUGCAUUAUGAGCAUGACCCUCCACUGCACUACUCACAAACAGGUGCCAAUGUUAUGUGCAAUGAACAGUUUCAUCAUCAACAUUCAUCUCACAGACAAGGUCGAGGAUAUGGGAUACCCAGGGAUUCAUCUCGUUUUAUAAAUAGGCACAGCAUGCCAAGCCCUAAAGUUGGUUUUUACUCUGAGCCAGGUAAAAGGUGCUGCCAGAGCUUUGAUAACUUCUCCUAUAGAUCUCGUUCCUUUAGACGUAGUCACCGCCAGAUGCAUUGCAUGAAUAAGGAGUGUCAUUUUGGCUUUGCCCCGGAGAAUGGACAGGUACCCAGUGGCUUGGAAGAAACUGUUACUUUUUAUGAAGUUGAAGAAGGAGAUACGACUGCUUAUCCAACUUUACCUAACCAUGGUAAUCCCUCUAUGAUGGUUCCUGCUACUUCAGGAUACUGUGUUGGAAGGCGAGGACAUAGCUCAGGAAAACAGACUUCAAAUUCAGAAGAGGGCAAUGGCCAGAGUGACAAUGGGAGAUAUGAAGAAUAUCUUUAUCCUUCAGAGCCAGACUAUGAAACUUCAGGUGUAUAUAGCACAACUGCAUCUACAGCAAACUUGGUAGGUAUUUAAUAAUAGCAAACACUAGUAGCUCCUGUUAUAUUCUGGGGCUCUGUUCUAAAAGCUAUACAUAUAAAUGUGUUUAAAUCAAAACAGUCC